GCUCGUAGUUGGAUUUGUGGUUUGUCCAGUCCGGCUGGGCCUUUAUUGGCCUUUGCUGUGAUGGUCAUCCAUCCUUGGGUGGAUCCUAUGUGGCAUUAGGUUGUCGCGUAGGGGAUGCCCAUCGUUUACUGUGAAAAAAUUAGAGUGUUCAAAGCAGGCUUAUGCCGUUGAAUAUAUUAGCAUGGAAUAAUGAUAUAGGACCUUGGUACUAUUUUGUUGGUUUGCGCAUCGAGGUAAUGAUUAAUAGGGACAGUUGGGGGUAUUCGUAUUCCAUUGUAAGAGGUGAAAUUCUUGGAUUUUUGGAAGACGAACUACUGCGAAAGCAUUUACCAAGGUAUGUUUCAGUACUCAAUCUACGUGAUGAAUGUGUGAUGAAAAAAUUUAUGGUGGAAAUUUAACUUGGAAGAAGUUUACCCCCACCCUUUGCCCCUCUGCUCUACCAUUUUCCAGGAUGUUUUCAUUAAUCAAGAACGAAAGUAAGGGGAUCGAAGAUGAUUAGAUACCAUCGUAGUCUUUACCAUAAACUAUGCCGACAAGGGAUUGGUGGGGUUUCGUUUCGUCUCCAUCAGCACCUUAUGAGAAAUCACAAGUCUUUGGGUUCCGGGGGGAGUAU
rnacentral:rRNA from 1 species